CCCCGCACACAGUGUAUUAUAACUGCAGCUAUAAGGUUAUGGUGUAAGGAGGUCCCCUGUCUCCCCGCACACAGUGUAUUAUAACUGUAGCUAUAAGGUUAUGGUGUAAGGAGGUCCCCUGUCUCCCUGCACACUGUGUAUUAUAACUGCCUAUGCUGGUAUAUGGUGUAAGGAGGUCCCCUGUCUCCCCGCACACAGUGUAUUAUAACUGUAGCUAUAAGGUUAUGGUGUAAGGAGGUCCCCUGUCUCCCUGCACACAGUGUAUUAUAACUGCAGCUAUAAGGUUAUGGUGUAAGGAGGUCCCCUGUCUCCCCGCCCAAAGUGUAUAAUAACUAUAGCUAUAAGGUUAUGGUGUAAGGUGGUACCAUGUCUCCCACACACAGUGUAUUAUAACUGCGGCUAUAAGGUUAUUGUGUAAGGAGUUCCCCUGUCUCCCCGCACACAGUGUAUUAUAACUGCAGCUAUAAGGUUAUGGUGUAAGGAGGUCCCCUGUCUCCCCGCACACAGUGUAUUAUAACUGCAGCUAUAAGGUUAUGGUGUAAGGAGGUCCCCUGUCUCCCGCACACAGUGUAUUAUAACUGCAGCUAUAAGGUUAUGGUGUAAGGAGGUCCCCUGUCUCCCCGCACACAGUGUAUUAUAACUGCAGCUAUAAGGUUAUGGUGUAAGGAGGUCCCCUGUCUCCCUGCACACAGUGUAUUAUAACUGCAGCUAUAAGGUUAUGGUGUAAGGAGGUCCCCUGUCUCCCCGCACACAGUGUAUUAUAACUGCAGCUAUAAGGUUAUGGUGUAAGGAGGUCCCCUGUCUCCCCACACACAGUGUAUUAUAACUGCAGCUAUAAGGUUAUGGUGUAAGGAGGUCCCCUGUCUCCCCGCACACAGUGUAUUAUAACUGCAGCUAUAAGGUUAUGGUGUAAGGAGGUCCCCUGUCUCCCCGCACACAGUGUAUUAUAACUGCAGCUAUAAGGUUAUUGUGUAAGGAGGUCCCCUGUCUCCCCGCACACAGUGUAUUAUAACUGCAGCUAUAAGGUUAUGGUGUAAGGAGGUCCCCUGUCUCCCCGCACACAGUGUAUAAUAACUGCAGCUAUAAGGUUAUGGUGUAAGGAGGUCCCCUGUCUCCCCGCACACACUGUAUUAUAACUGCAGCUAUAAGGUUAUUGUGUAAGGAGUUCCCCUGUCUCCCCGCACACAGUGUAUUAUAACUGCAGCUAUAAGGUUAUGGUGUAAGGAGGUCCCCUGUCUCCCUGCACACAGUGUAUUAUAACUGUAGCUAUAAGUAGUUAUGGUGUAAGGAGGUCCCCUGUCUCCCUGCACACUGUGUAUUAUAACUGCGGCUAUAAGGUUAUGGUGUAAGGAGGUCCUUCUUGUCUCCUUGCACAUAUCUGAUCUUGUAACAAUCUUAUUUUUAUUAUAUUUCAAUGUAUGAUAUGGUAUUCAUGUUUUCGCUGUUAAACCCUGUAGUUAUGUGUGACUUUAGAAUGUAAAACUUAUUUCAUGGCUGUGUGCAUCGGUUUAAUAAAAAAAAAUAACUUUCCUGAGGAUGAACAUUUAUGUUUAACUGGAAUGUAGUUCUUUCAUUGUUUGCAGUCAAACCAUCUCCUAAUUUCCAUAUCCCAAUCUUAAAAAUAAAUAUUUUAUUCUCAGGCCGGUUAGGUGUAACUCACUAAUAUUCACGGUUUUAUGAUCUUACUCAAGUUUCAGCUUAGUUUGACAGUACUAGAAAUUGGGGCGAUGACCACACUGGAGCAGACCAUGCUACGGACUUGAAUACCUUGGGUUUCGGUCAUAACAAGCUUGAUGAUUGAUCAGCAAUCUGGACUUUUCCAAAUUCAUCAAGUACAUUUUAUAGAGGAUUCCUUCCUGACAAACUGCACCAUCCCUGCAAGUUUUAGGUAAAUGUGAUCAACCUGCUACAAUGACCAUCUUCCAUUAUACAGAGAUCAAAUCUGUUAGCACACAAGUAGCUGUUAGUAAGAUUUCAGAAACAGGUUUACAGUCAAGGCCAUGUUUUUGUGAAUUGAACUGAAUUUCUCGUUAUUGGUGCAAAUAUGGCACACAUUCCAACAGUAGAGCAAUCUCCAUUGAAAUAAAUGAUAUGCAUGUUUAUCUAGAUCAACCAUGGAGAGCUACAGGAGGCCAGGAACUAGCUUAAGAGUGCCCAUUCUUGUCUUGAAUGAAAUGCAGGGAGAUAGAAG
rnacentral:lncRNA from 1 species